GGACGGGUGAGUAACACGUGGACAAUCUGCCCCCCGGCCCGGGAUAGCCCAGGGAAACCUGGAUUAAUACCGGAUGAGACGGGACCUGCGAUGGCGGGAUCCGGGAAAGGCGCUACGGCGCCGCCGGGGGAUGAGUCUGCGUCCCAUUAGCCAGACGGCGGGGUAACGGCCCACCGUGGCGACGAUGGGUAGCCGGCCUGAGAGGGUGGACGGCCACAUUGGAACUGAGACACGGUCCAGACUCCUACGGGAGGCAGCAGCUAAGAAUCUUCCGCAAUGGGCGAAAGCCUGACGGAGCGACGCCGCGUGAACGAAGAAGGCCGUGAGGUUGUAAAGUUCUUUUCGGGAGGGGGAACAACCGUGGCAGGGAAUGGCCGCGGGAUGACGUGAAUCCCGGAAUAAGCCCCGGCUAACUACGUGCCAGCAGCCGCGGUAACACGUAGGGGGCGAGCGUUGUUCGGAAUCAUUGGGCGUAAAG
rnacentral:rRNA from 1 species